GCCGGGCGUGGUGGCGUGCACCUGUAGUCCCAGCUACUCGGGAGGCUGAGGCAGGGGAAUCACUUGAACCCAGGAGGCAGAGGUUGCAGUGAGAUCGUGCCACUGCACUCCAGCCUGGCAACAGAGUGAGACUUGGUCUCAUAAUAAUAAUAAUAAUAAUAAUAAUAAAAUACAAAAAUUAGCCAGGUGUGGUGGUACAAGCCUAUAGUCCCAGCUACUCAGGAGGCUGAGGUGGGAGGAUCACUUGAGCCGAGGAGUUCAAGGCUGCAGUGAGCUGAGAUUGUGUCACUGCACUCUAGCCUGGGUGACAGAGUGAGACCCUGCCUCAA
ensembl:misc_RNA Metazoa_SRP Metazoan signal recognition particle RNA